UACGAAUAGUAAUAUACUGAUGAUUCUCCUAAAGCAGUGUUGCUAGAGAACAAACACCAAAAUGAUACUGUGCAUGGCGACACCACAAACACUCUUGUGAUGUAGAACAGAACACGUACUCUGAUGUAGCUAUGACAGAAGGACCUUUGUCAUGAUCUCUGUGAUAUCCACAUCUGUUACCUUAAGCUACAGUGUUCACAUGAGAACGUUCCAGGGAUACAUGGAGACAUCUUUGUCUGGCUGAAAGGCAGGCAUAAAUCAUAUAAACAAUUGGCUUAAUUUGGAUGGAGCUGUCCGAGGGCCCUAAAUUAAUCUCUACCUCAAAGUGAGUCCCAGUAAAUUUGGAGAGCCUCAGACGGUGGCUUCAUCUGUGCUCAUUACUCAUCCCCCAGUUCUUCCUGCUGGUGCUAUGUCUGCUGCCGACCACCCGGGGGCAUCGCCUCUGCGGUAGGGACACCGCGGCUUGAGGCCCACGUCCUCCUCUGGUAGAGCACACGGUUACUACAUCUGGAACACGGGCAGGCCCCCUUGGUCCCCAGUGCAUGACGGACGCCUGGAUGGAAUUUUAACAAGACUGUAGCGAACGCCUGUGGGAAACGGAAGCGAAGCCAGCCUCGAAGUCUCCGAGCUCCCUUAGAGCCACCUGACCUUAAGCGACACGACUCCUCCUUUCUGCUUAGGGAGUGUUCGGACAUCUCCAAAGCCACAUUACGGCCCAAGAGAAUGAGGAAGGCGUUUCUACAACCUGAAGUGACCCAGGAUUAACCUUGUCCCAGGAUGAUGAAAAACGCAAAGCAGCAACUCCAGCAGAGAGCUUCGUCAUGACACCAUGCAGAACGGAGAGGCCCAAGGCCCUGAAACAGCCACGGAGUAUCUGCCAGAACAUCUCUGCCAGGAAGGCCAGCGAAACCCUCACGCGUGCUUUUUACCAGAGACCUAAACUCCACAUCACCUACAAAGAACUGUAUGAAAACGAGGAGAAAUAUGUAGAAACAGGCAUGUGUAAAUGACGUUUUAGAAAAAGAAAUUUCUCUAUUGGAAAUAAUUUACAGUGUGAUCUCUCUGCUGAAAAAACAACUGUAGGCUUGUUGCAGAGAAGACAAUUUCAC
rnacentral:lncRNA from 1 species